CUAUGCCCACUCUUAUUUUGCACAUAAUUUCUGAGAAUUGCUUCUUAUUUAGGAUGUAUUGGGCCAGACUGAGAAAGAGAAAUAGAUAUGCAGUUCACAAUAUCCACAAUUUUAAAAUCAGUUUGGGGUCGUCAUUGAGUAAAACAUAGAGAAAAUGUUCAAAUUUCUCUGUUCAGGAAAGGGCUGAAUGUCAUGGGAAGAGGGUCUGUGACACACAGAGGUGGGAAGCCUUUUGUCCAUCGUGUGCACACAGAGCUGCUCAGCCCCAAAGCUGAGCUCCUUGGGUUUUGGAGGCAAAAACACCAGGGCUGGCAGAGGGUGCCAGGACAGAGUAACACCUGUGUGUAGCUGUGAUUCCUGUCAGGCUGAGACCAGCUCUGGGCUGUGCCCACUGAGCUGAGCUCUAACAGCUCCUUUCUUGGAAAAAUGCAGAGUGAUUGUGCUUCACACUGCAGUUUUGCCACUUAUAAAAGCAGAUAAAUACGGAUCAGGAAAGCCAUUUACAUGGAGAAGUUCUUCAGAAGGCCUUUUUGUAACAUUCUGUAUGGAAGGUGCUCCACUGAAUCCUUCUGCGUGACUGUCUUGGUUUUUUUUAUUAGGAAAUUAUCUUCCCAUACCUUGUGAAUCCAUAAACUUGUUUGAAAGAAUAAUUUUUAGGAUGAAAAAAAUCAAUGAGCUGUGACACGGUGUAAGGGUUUUUUACAUAAAAUUUAAAAUAAUUGCGUAAGGCUUUGAAAGUUCAGAUGCAUUCCAAAAAGCAUUUUCUUAGACUUGAGAGCUGCUGAGAUAUUCCAUAGCUGGUGUAAUUAUCAGGUUAUAGCAUGCCAAGGAGCAAAAAGGCCUCCUCCCAUUGUGUACUUCAGCAGUGAACCUGCGAGUCAUUAUGUACAUAGCAGAGACAGGGAAAACACUGUCCGUGAUAACCUCUGUUUUCUUCUCCUAGUCCUGAUCAGCAUGUUCUGUCUUGCAAACAUGCUGUUCAAAUGUACUAAAACUGCAUUUAUUAGGAAUGUAGUGACAGUGACAGUGAGAUUGAGAGUGAUUCAAGCUCAGGUGAAGAGCAGAGAAUUACUACGAGAGUUUACCGACGGCGGUUGAUUCUGAAGGGUGAGGAAGCAAAAAACAUUCCUGGUGAAUCUGUAACAGAGGAACAGUUUACCGAUGAAGAAGGCAACGUCAUCACGAGAAAAAUCACCCGGAAGGUAGUAAGACGUGUUGUUAUCCCCCACAAGAGGAAAGUUGG